AACUCAGAUAAUGAAGCUGUAUUGAUUGCCAGGAGGGGGUGAGGGUGAAGCAGGGUCCAGGUGUGAAGUGCUUAGGCGGCAGGAGAGGGGAUCUUCUAGUGGGAUCCGUGUCCACACAGGGGGCCUCCUGGGCCUGAGCGGGGCUGGGCAGCCUCAGUUCUUGGUGCGAAGGACCUGCUCGUGGGUGGACACCACCUUGCCAUCGUGCACAUCCAUGAUCUUGGUGUGGAUUUGGUGGCUGGAGGAGGUCACUGGGGAAGAGGCGGAAAGAGGACAUUACCAGAGGUGGACAGACAAUGGACUAAUCAGGAGUAAGGAGGCCAAGAAGACUAGGGCUCCCAAAGGUCAGAGACAGAGUCUUUGUCUUCAGAUUAGAGCUUCCUAAGAGCUCACACCCAGCUGGUUCCGUCCAUAUUCACCCAAUGGAGUGGUCUCGGUGGGAGGAGCCCUGCAGGGCCCUGUUCAUGGUGCUGAGCACCACAGCAAUAGGAUCUGCCACAGACACCCGGUAGAAGUAAGAGGCGGCGGUAGGUGGCGAUCUCCUGUUCCAGCCGCAUCUUCACG
rnacentral:lncRNA from 1 species